rnacentral:rRNA from 1 species
GACGAACGCUGGCGGUAUGCUUAACACAUGCAAGUCGAACGAGAAGUUUUUUAUUGAACCUUCGGGGGAUAUAAGAGACAGACAGUGGCGAACGGGUGAGUAACGCGUGGGCAACCUACCUAUCGGAGCGGGAUAGCCUCGAGAAAUCGGGAGUAAAACCGCAUAACACGGAUAUAUCGCAUGAUGAAUCCGUCAAAACUCCGGUGCCGAUAGAUGGGCCCGCGUCUGAUUAGCUAGUUGGUAAGGUAAGGGCUUACCAAGGCAACGAUCAGUAGCCGGUCUGAGAGGGCGAACGGCCACACUGGAACUGAGACACGGUCCAGACUCCUACGGGAGGCAGCAGUGGGGAAUAUUGCGCAAUGGGGGCAACCCUGACGCAGCAAUACCACGUGAGUGAAGAAGGUUUUCGGAUCGUAAAGCUCUGUUAUUGGGGAAGAAGCAGGACGGU